rnacentral:rRNA from 1 species
AACGAACGCUGGCGGCAGGCCUAACACAUGCAAGUCGAACGGCACCUUCGGGUUUAGUGGCGCACGGGUGCGGAACACGUGGGAAUGUACCCUCUGGUAAGGAAUAAUAUCUGGAAACGGAUACUAAUACCUUAUAAUGACUUCGGUCCAAAGAUUUAUCGCCAGAGGAUCAGCCCGCGCCUGAUUAGAUAGUUGGUGAGGUAAUGGCUCACCAAGUCUACGAUCAGUAGCUGGUCUGAGAGGAUGAUCAGCCACACUGGAACUGAGACACGGUCCAGACUCCUACGGGAGGCAGCAGUGAGGAAUAUUGCACAAUGGGGGAAACCCUGAUGCAGCCAUGCCGCGUGAGUGAAGAAGGCCUUAGGGUUGUAAAGCUCUUUCAUGAGGAAAGAUAAAGUGGGUAACCACUUAGACGGUACCUCAAGAAGAAGCCACGGCUAACUUCGUG